rnacentral:rRNA from 1 species
UACGGGGGGGGGCAAGCGUUGUUCGGAAUUAUUGGGCGUAAAGGGCGCGUAGGCGGCCUGGCAAGUGGAAGGUGAAAUCCCUCGGCUUAACCGAGGAACUGCCCUCCAAACUGCUUGGCUUGAGUCCGGGAGAGGUGAGUGGAAUUCCCAGUGUAGCGGUGAAAUGCGUAGAUAUUGGGAGGAACACCAGUGGCGAAGGCGGCUCACUGGACCGGAACUGACGCUGAGGCGCGAAAGCGUGGGGAGCAAACGGG